GAAUGAGGUGAUGAACAUAUGAUUCCCUAUUGGUUUGAUUGCCGAUAUGAUGGCAAUGAAUCUGUAUUAGCUCUAUCUGAUCAUUC
rnacentral:snoRNA from 1 species